UCCUACGGGCGGCUGCAGUGGGGAAUAUUGGACAAUGGGCGGAAGCCUGAUCCAGCAAUGCCGCGUGUGUGAAGAAGGCCUGAGGGUUGUAAAGCACUUUCGUUUUUGAAGAAGUAAUGUGGGUUAAGAGCUAGCAUUAUUGACGUUAGAGAAAGAAGAAGCACCGGCUAACUCUGUGCCAGCAGCCGCGGUAAUACAGAGGGUGCGAGCGUUAAUCGGAAUUACUGGGCGUAAAGGGUGCGUAGGUGGUUUGGUAAGUAACAUGUGAAAGUCCUGGGCUUAACCUGGGGAUGUCGUGUUAAACUGCUAAGCUAGAGUGUUGUAGAGGAUAGCGGAAUUUCCGGUGUAGCGGUGAAAUGCGUAGAUAUCGGAAGGAACAUCAGUGGCGAAGGCGGCUAUCUGGACAACAACUGACACUGAGGCACGAAAGCGUGGGGAGCAAACAGGAUUAGAUACCCUUGUAGUC
rnacentral:rRNA from 1 species